rnacentral:rRNA from 1 species
UAAGGAAUAUUGGUCAAUGGGCGGAAGCCUGAACCAGCCAUCCCGCGUGCAGGAUGAAUGCCCUAUGGGUUGUAAACUGCUUUUAUCUGGGAAUAAACCACUCUAUUUAUGGGGUGUUGAAGGUACCAGAAGAAUAAGCACCGGCUAACUCCGUGCCAGCAGCCGCGGUAAUACGGAGGGUGCAAGCGUUAUCCGGAAUCACUGGGUUUAAAGGGUGCGUAGGCGGCUGUAUAAGUCAGAGGUGAAAGGC